rnacentral:rRNA from 1 species
AGUGAACGCUGGCGGUAGGCCUAACACAUGCAAGUCGAACGGCAGCACAGGAGAGCUUGCUCUCUGGGUGGCGAGUGGCGGACGGGUGAGGAAUACAUCGGAAUCUACUCUGUCGUGGGGGAUAACGUAGGGAAACUUACGCUAAUACCGCAUACGACCUACGGGUGAAAGCAGGGGACCUUCGGGCCUUGCGCGAUUGAAUGAGCCGAUGUCGGAUUAGCUAGUUGGCGGGGUAAAGGCCCACCAAGGCGACGAUCCGUAGCUGGUCUGAGAGGGUGAUCAGCCACACUGGGAAUGAGACACGGUCCAGACUCCUACGGGAGGCAGCAGUGGGGAAUAUUGGACAAUGGGCGCAAGCCUGAUCCAGCCAUACCGCGUGGGUGAAGAAGGCCUUCGGGUUGUAAAGCCCUUUUGUUGGGAAAGAAAUCCAGCUGGCUAAUACCCGGUUGGGAUGACGGUACCCAAAGAAUAAGCACCGGCUAACUUCGUGCCAGCAGCCGCCGUAA